AUCACCCUGCGGUGUGCGUGAUCGCCUUGAAGUUUUGAGCCAACACCAAUUUAAAGGGAGCCUGGCCUCUGGAUGUAGAUUGUAUGACUUCCUGGGGAGUAAACGAGAAGCAUUCAGGAGGGCACCCACCUGUUGAGAACAGGUUCAGAAAACUUUGGGGAUUAACGGCACCUCGGGGGUUGU
rnacentral:other from 1 species